CCCAUAUCACGAUAUCAGUGCCCAUAUCACAACAUUUGGGGCCCAUAUCACGAUAUCAGUGCCCAUAUCGCAACAUUUGGUGCCCAUAUCGCGAUAUCAGUGCCCAUAUCACAACAUACGGGUCCCAUAUCACGACAUUUGGGGCCCAUAUCGCAAUACCACCGACACUAUCGCGACGUGGGGCGCCCAUAUCGCGACAUUCA
rnacentral:lncRNA from 1 species